rnacentral:lncRNA from 1 species
UGGUUUUAGGAAAAAAAUGUUCAGCUUCUCAUGAGUAGGUGUGAUAGUAUUCUUGACUCUCAGGUGCAGAGAAGCAGUUCUUCUAUGCCAGUCUGCAGAGAACUUUCGUCCUGAUUCACGUUAAUCUUAUGGCUUCUCUGAAUCUACUCACAUGAGUUCAUGUCCUUCAUGAUCUCACUGCAUUACGUCAUAUUCAUGGCUUUACAUACAUUCCAUAUGCUUUACUCAUGAAGUCUUAUCCUGGAAUAUGACAUUCAUUUGACUUGUUGUGUAUGUUUUUUCAACUGUGUUCAUCAAGCCUAUUGACCUAUAACAUUUCUUUUUGUUUUAUACUUUCUUUGCCUGACUUUGGGAUCAAGAUAAAUGUGGCAUUUAAAAAUGUGUUUGUACAACUUUGGAAGAGUUAAAAAUGGUCAUUAUUAAGAAAAAGAUGGAUAACUUAUAAGCAAACAGUGGGCUUAGAAUUCAUUCUAGAACAGUUAAUUCUAAAAAGCGGUGUGUGUUUCAUUCUACUUAAAAUUAACAGAGCAAAAUUUUAAUUGUAUAUGGAACAAUUUCUAGGUCAGAGCAUUAUAAACUGGCCACAAGAGAAGCCAACCAAUUGAAGAAAAUUGAAACAUUAAGUACUUUUUUUCCGACAAGAGCUUGAAAUAGAUACCAUCCAGAGAGUUUUGGAAGCUUCAUAAAUACAUAGACAUCAAACAACUUCUUACUGAAACAUCAGUGAGUCAAACAAAACAAAAUAAAACAAACAAAAAAAAAACAACAAAAAUUAUUACCACAAUGGCAAUAGACUUUAAGAUUAUGAACUAUGAUACAAUUAUGUUUUGAAAUGAUAAAAUAAAUAUCUUCCAUGCUUACUUAUGUGUUAAUGAAGAUAUACAUUAUAUACACUACAUAGUUCUUGUACUGCAUAAGUUGUAAGUUAAACUGAAUUUGUGAAGUUAUAUGGGACUCCUACAUACAUCUACCAUAUGGCUCCAUUAAUUUUUUUUGAAAAAAGAACAUUCUCUAUUUGCUAUAAAUACUGAAAGCAGAAUGGCAAAUUAUUAUUUACUGUCAUAUUUGUAAUUCUGGGUACUUAAGACUAAUAUUAAAUUUCAUAUACCAUAAUCAGAUGUCCAUAGGCUAAAAUAAAAAUGCAAAUCCCAUUUUAAAUCACCAUCUCCAUAUGCUGCAGGCAUUUAUUUAUUUUAUUUCCUUAUUAAUUUAAAACAUUUUAUCACUUUUAUAUUACAUGUAACUAUGUAACAGGUGUAAUAGUUGAACAAAAUAAAUUGAUAAUCUGGCCAUGAGGACUCAAAAAUCUGUUAGGUACAAAUGUCUUUCUUAAAUUUCUUUAAUUUUGGUCACUGUAUAAUUGGUUGCCACAAUUGUGGGAUGGGAAACCACAGGUUGUAAUAUAUUUUGUCAGUCCAGGGACAGCAAAAGUAAACUCUUAAUGAUUAGUUUAUAAAAUGUUUGCUAUGGAUUUCCUGAAAAUUGUGAUUUUUCUCUGAAGAUCAUAUUUCUCAUUAGUAAGACUGGAGUCAGUGUUAGCAACCUAUCUCAAAUAUUACCAUAAAAUUGGGCAUGAAAAUUAAAUUUCUACCAUGUAGCAAAGAGGAAAAUAUGCAAUGAUAAUCAAAGGCAAAAUGAGUGAGCUACAGACAGAGAUCAAAGUAGUUAAUAAUUGCAAAGCUAGACAUGGGGCACGCCUUCAGUCUUGCCAUCUGGCAGACUGAGACAAGGGGAUCUGUGGGUCUGGAAUGGUGGAGGAAGAAUGAGGCCCUGUUUCAAAGCAUGAGGAACCAAAGGACUGAAAGCAAGGGAUCAGAGCAGCAUGGAGAUUGUACUGUGUAUGAUCUUUGGUUGUAUAUAGGGAGGAUUGUGCAGUACAAUUAGUAAAGGAAACAGUCCUUGUUAACCGGGAACUAUGCCUGAUUUUCUUGAUAGCCAAUUAAGAAGUAAUAACCUAAGUCUAAAGAGCAGAAAAAUACUGCGGAUACCUUGAGAAAUGACUCUGCCAUUGAGUACAUCUUCUAACUCUGACUCAAAAGCCACCAGUGAAAAUUGCAAUCAAGGUUUUCCUAGAACACUGGAAACAAUCCUCCAUAAUGUGAAAUACCAAUAUCAAAUAUAAUGCUGGUAUAUAUACAAGUCUAUCACAGUUCAAUGGCAAAGAAAAUAAAUCUG